GGGUUGUGAGGUUAAGCGACUAAGCGUACACGGUGGAUGCCCUGGCAGUCAGAGGCGAUGAAGGACGUGCUAAUCUGCGAAAAGCGUCGGUAAGGUGAUAUGAACCGUUACAGCCGGCGAUGUCCGAAUGGGGAAACCCAGUGCAAUUCGUUGCACUAUCGUUAACUGAAUACAUAGGUUAACGAGGCGAACCGGGGGAACUGAAACAUCUAAGUACCCCGAGGAAAAGAAAUCAACCGAGAUUCCCCCAGUAGCGGCGAGCGAACGGGGAGCAGCCCAGAGUCUGAAUCAGCUUGUGUGUUAGUGGAACGGUCUGGAAAGUCCGACGGUACAGGGUGAUAGUCCCGUACACCAAAAUGCACAGGUUGUGAACUCGAAGAGUAGGGCGGGACACGUGGUAUCCUGUCUGAAUAUGGGGGGACCAUCCUCCAAGGCUAAAUACUCCUGACUGACCGAUAGUGAACCAGUACCGUGAGGGAAAGGCGAAAAGAACCCCGGCGAGGGGAGUGAAAAAGAACCUGAAACCGUGUACGUACAAGCAGUGGGAGCACCUUCGGGUGUGACUGCGUACCUUUUGUAUAAUGGGUCAGCGACUUAUAUUCUGUAGCAAGGUUAACCGUAUAGGGGAGCCGCAGGGAAACCGAGUCUUAACUGGGCGUUAAGUUGCAGGGUAUAGACCCGAAACCCGGUGAUCUAGCCAUGGGCAGGUUGAAGGUUGGGUAACACUAACUGGAGGACCGAACCGACUAAUGUUGAAAAAUUAGCGGAUGACUUGUGGCUGGGGGUGAAAGGCCAAUCAAACCGGGAGAUAGCUGGUUCUCCCCGAAAGCUAUUUAGGUAGCGCCUCGUGAACUCAUCUUCGGGGGUAGAGCACUGUUUCGGCUAGGGGGUCAUCCCGACUUACCAACCCGAUGCAAACUACGAAUACCGAAGAAUGUUAUCACGGGAGACACACGGCGGGUGCUAACGUCCGUCGUGAAGAGGGAAACAACCCAGACCGCCAGCUAAGGUCCCAAAGUCAUGGUUAAGUGGGAAACGAUGUGGGAAGGCACAGACAGCCAGGAUGUUGGCUUAGAAGCAGCCAUCAUUUAAAGAAAGCGUAAUAGCUCACUGGUCGAGUCGGCCUGCGCGGAAGAUGUAACGGGGCUAAACCAUGCACCGAAGCUGCGGCAGCGACACUAUGUGUUGUUGGGUAGGGGAGCGUUCUGUAAGCCUGCGAAGGUGUGCUGUGAGGCAUGCUGGAGGUAUCAGAAGUGCGAAUGCUGACAUAAGUAACGAUAAAGCGGGUGAAAAGCCCGCUCGCCGGAAGACCAAGGGUUCCUGUCCAACGUUAAUCGGGGCAGGGUGAGUCGACCCCUAAGGCGAGGCCGAAAGGCGUAGUCGAUGGGAAACAGGUUAAUAUUCCUGUACUUGGUGUUACUGCGAAGGGGGGACGGAGAAGGCUAUGUUAGCCGGGCGACGGUUGUCCCGGUUUAAGCAUGUAGGCUGGUUAUCCAGGCAAAUCCGGAUAAUCAAGGCUGAGGUGUGAUGACGAGGCACUACGGUGCUGAAGUAACAAAUGCCCUGCUUCCAGGAAAAGCCUCUAAGCAUCAGGUAACAUCAAAUCGUACCCCAAACCGACACAGGUGGUCAGGUAGAGAAUACCAAGGCGCUUGAGAGAACUCGGGUGAAGGAACUAGGCAAAAUGGUGCCGUAACUUCGGGAGAAGGCACGCUGGUGUGUAGGUGAAGUCCCUGCGGAUGGAGCUGAGACCAGUCGAAGAUACCAGCUGGCUGCAACUGUUUAUUAAAAACACAGCACUGUGCAAACACGAAAGUGGACGUAUACGGUGUGACGCCUGCCCGGUGCCGGAAGGUUAAUUGAUGGGGUUAUCCGUAAGGAGAAGCUCUUGAUCGAAGCCCCGGUAAACGGCGGCCGUAACUAUAACGGUCCUAAGGUAGCGAAAUUCCUUGUCGGGUAAGUUCCGACCUGCACGAAUGGCGUAAUGAUGGCCAGGCUGUCUCCACCCGAGACUCAGUGAAAUUGAACUCGCUGUGAAGAUGCAGUGUACCCGCGGCAAGACGGAAAGACCCCGUGAACCUUUACUAUAGCUUGACACUGAACAUUGAGCCUUGAUGUGUAGGAUAGGUGGGAGGCUUUGAAGCGUGGACGCCAGUCUGCGUGGAGCCAACCUUGAAAUACCACCCUUUAAUGUUUGAUGUUCUAACGUUGGCCCCUGACCGGGGUUGCGGACAGUGUCUGGUGGGUAGUUUGACUGGGGCGGUCUCCUCCCAAAGCGUAACGGAGGAGCACGAAGGUUAGCUAAUCCUGGUCGGACAUCAGGAGGUUAGUGCAAUGGCAUAAGCUAGCUUGACUGCGAGCGUGACGGCGCGAGCAGGUGCGAAAGCAGGUCAUAGUGAUCCGGUGGUUCUGAAUGGAAGGGCCAUCGCUCAACGGAUAAAAGGUACUCCGGGGAUAACAGGCUGAUACCGCCCAAGAGUUCAUAUCGACGGCGGUGUUUGGCACCUCGAUGUCGGCUCAUCACAUCCUGGGGCUGAAGUAGGUCCCAAGGGUAUGGCUGUUCGCCAUUUAAAGUGGUACGCGAGCUGGGUUUAGAACGUCGUGAGACAGUUCGGUCCCUAUCUGCCGUGGGCGCUGGAGAAUUGAGGGGGGCUGCUCCUAGUACGAGAGGACCGGAGUGGACGCAUCACUGGUGUUCGGGUUGUCAUGCCAAUGGCACUGCCCGGUAGCUAAAUGCGGAAGAGAUAAGUGCUGAAAGCAUCUAAGCACGAAACUUGCCCCGAGAUGAGUUCUCCCUGAGACUUUAAGUCUCCUGAAGGAACGUUGAAGACGACGACGUUGAUAGGCCGGGUGUGUAAGCGCAGCGAUGCGUUGAGCUAACCGGUACUAAUGAACCGUGAGGCUUAACCUUACAACGCCGAAG
rnacentral:rRNA from 2 species